AGUGGGGAAUAUUGGACAAUGGGGGCAACCCUGAUCCAGCGAUGCCGCGUGAGUGAAGAAGGCCUUCGGGUUGUAAAACUCUUUCACCUGUGACGAUGAUGACGGUAGCAGGAGAAGAAGCACCGGCUAACUCCGUGCCAGCAGCCGCGGUAAGACGGAGGGUGCUAGCGUUGUUCGGAAUGACUGGGCGUAAAGGGCGCGUAGGCGGUUUUGUUAGUCAGGCGUGAAAGCCCCGGGCUUAACCUGGGAACUGCGUUUGAUACUGCAAGACUUGAGAACGGAAGAGGAAAGUGGAAUUCCUAGUGUAGAGGUGAAAUUCGUAGAUAUUAGGAGGAACACCAGAGGCGAAGGCGGCUUUCUGGUCCGUUACUGACGCUGAGGCGCGAAAGCGUGGGGAGCAAA
rnacentral:rRNA from 1 species